rnacentral:tRNA from 1 species
GCCGCGAUCGCAUAAUUUGGUAUUGCACCAGCCUGGAAAGCUGGGCCCAUCUGGGCAUCCCGGUUCAAAUCCGGGUCACGGCG